rnacentral:sRNA from 1 species
UUAUGACCAUUCCAUAGUCUUUGAGCCC